CGUACCCUUAACGUUCCCCUGUCUCGAUGUCGCCCGUCGACGCGGGGUAGGCAGAUCCUUAAGAAGGGGUUGCGGUAGCACGGCUUUAGCGAAAGGGUGGGGUCACUUAACGGUCGGUUGUGCAAGGUAAACACCAUGGUUCCAGAGUCGGGGGCAUUUGGACUUUGCGGUUCCUCUGCUCUUUAUCAACCAUAAACAAUUAACGGUUACGUGGAACCCAAUUUUUUUUUUCCCAUAAUACAGUUCAGAUACGAGCGAACCCCGAUAAAAUUCUCAGUGCAAUCGGUCAAUCGAGAUCAAUCGUUGAAGGUCAUUGGUCAGCCACGAAUAGGAAGAGCUAAUUUGUUGUCGCACAUAUCUUUCGCGCAUGGUGUCAAGAAAUACAACAUGGAUACAUAAUGUACACCGAGAAAAAGAAUUAGUUAACUGAAACAAAUAUAUAUAUUGUUGAAUCAUAUAUGAUUGCAAGGAAAAUUGAUGUCAUCGAGUUAAACUAAACAAUCAACUUUUUUUUUUCCUCGGUGUAUGUACUCCGCACGUCAGCAAUCCAAGUAUGAAGAUAGAAUUGAAAGAGAGAAAACAUAGGAGCCGUUUUCUCGUUCUUUCUAUCUCUCUGUGUUCGUGACAAGAAUUUCACGACGCAACGUACCAACCACCUAUCAGGAAUAGAGGGAAGGAAAAGGAUUGCCCUUCAAUUCGCUCUUUGCUAUCUUCACGAUAAUGCAAGGGAAUUUACCAGGACCUGAUUCUAUAAUAUCUUACGAACAAGAUUGAUACAUAGACGAACCGCAGCGAGACACUCAAUGUGAUCGUUCAACAGAGGUGAAAGGGUUAGAGGUGGUUGGUCAGCCGCACGCGGAAUGAGUCGACCGCGCAUUCUUCUCGCGCAAGGUGUUCGGAAACGCAACCGUCCAACCUAGUGACGUCACGCGGAUCUCUGGUAACGCACAGUCGCGGAUUAGCGUAACUCGGUAAGGUUUCGAGCCAAAUACGUUUCUGAGCGAGAAACUCGUAACAUUGAGUUCGAGCGAGAUGCUACAGAGUUAUAUACAAUAAGGAUCGAGAUUUCAGGAUUAACGUAACUCGAGGGCAACGAAGAGCCAAAAGUUAAUCGCGACUAGCGGUUCUCGGGCGUAUAAGCGGCGAUCGCGACUUCGCCAAUUUCCCGGCGACGUGCAAUUAUGCUAAUCUCGCACCGGGGCUCGAAUUCCUUCCUUCGGCGGGAGGAGCCGAGGGGAUUGCGUCACCGAUUACGGAGAAUGCAAGAGUGCCGCGAGACACGUCGCGAGUCACGUGAGCCGAGCGCCGUCAAAAGCGAGGGAACGGUAUAUAUCGAAACGCGAGGUUGCGCGACGGAGAGAACGGGAGUCGGGCCGCCAUCUUGGAUAUACUUCGGCCACGAAGAGUGUACAAACGAGCCACGCCGAAUGCGGGGUGCAACGAGGAAACACGGAGGAACGGUGAGGGGACCGCCGCGUCGAAGUGUAUCAAGGUCCGAGAUCCGAUACGCGUCGGUGAAGAAGGAGUCAUUCCACCGACCUGCCACGGCCGGCCAAUAAGAGCGCGAGGUAUACAAACGAGCGGCCGGAAGUCGGGCAAGAGAUAUCGCGGCAACCCCCUUUAUUCUGUAACCCUCCUCGCCUAGUUUCGCUUGGGCGUGGGCAUUCUGCAUAACUCGCAGACCCACCGCAUUUCGGAUAGGGCGAUAAAGAUAUCUCAUGGAUCUACCAAGGAACGAGUGGAUGAUAAAGUGAGAUUUUAGACAAGGGGACUGAAGCUCGAAACGUAACAAGGCACUGCAGCGGUCAUCUUUCUUUGCUACCACAUGCGCGUAACCUUGUAUCCGUAAACAACAGCCAAAGCGUAUGGCGCAUUUUUUUUUAAAGUACGAUAAAACGCGCGUCAAGAGGUACCACGAUGGAGAAAUUGCAUUGCGACCCUGUCUUUAAGGAUGAAAAUGGUGAACGUGAGUCACGGUUACCGCGUACUUCAAACCGUUUGUACAUCUUUAUAUUAAAAAAAAAAAAAUGCUAUGUUGCGUUAGCGUUAACUUUGUGCGCAACGGAUUUUCCGUUCAAAAGAUCCACCUUGAUGCGUCGCAUACAUCGUCAAGUGGUUCCUUGUAUCGUUCUUCUUUCAUUUAAGAUAGAAAUUGAAUAUAAGGAUGUAAUUAGUGUUAACCGUUUCGAGAUUCGUGUAAUCUUUAAGUAGUAGCUUAUAAUAAAACCGUAUAAAAGUA
rnacentral:lncRNA from 1 species